rnacentral:rRNA from 1 species
CCCUUAGAUGUUCUGGGCCGCACGCGUGCUACACUGAGUGGAUCAGCGGGUCAGGUUACGCGAGAGCGUUUCCUAAUCUUCAAAUCCGCUCGUGAUGGGGAUUGACGGUUGCAAUUUUCCGUCAUGAACGAGGAAUACCUUGUAAGCGCGGGUCAUCAUCCCGCGCUUAAUACGUCCCUGCCCUUUGUACACACCGCCCGUCGCUCCUACCGAUUGAGUGGUCCGGUGAGGCUUUGGGAUCUAAGCGAAAAGAGCGUUUCGCUCCUUUUGCUGGGAGAACUCAGUCGAACCUUAUCAUUUAGAGGAAGGAGAAGUCGUAACA